GAUGAACGCUGGCGGCGUGCUUAACACAUGCAAGUCGAACGAGAAGUGGAGACGGACACCUUCGGGCGGAAGACUUUACUUCGAGUGGCGGACGGGUGAGUAACGCGUGGGUAACCUGCCUCAUACAGGGGGAUAACAGUUGGAAACGACUGUUAAUACCGCAUAAGACCACAGCACCGCAUGGUGCGGGGGUAAAAACUCCGGUGGUAUGAGAUGGACCCGCGUUCGAUUAGCCAGUUGGCGGGGUAACGGCCCACCAAAGCGACGAUCGAUAGCCGAUCUGAGAGGAUGACCGGCCACAUUGGGACUGAGACACGGCCCAAACUCCUACGGGAGGCAGCAGUGGGGAAUAUUGCACAAUGGGGGAAACCCUGAUGCAGCGACGCCGCGUGAGUGAAGAAGUAUUUCGGUAUGUAAAGCUCUAUCAGCAGGGAAGAAAACGACAGUACCUGAGUAAGAAGCCCCGGCUAACUACGUG
rnacentral:rRNA from 1 species